GUACCUUUUGGUUCGGAACAACACAGGGAAACUUGUGCUAAUACCGAAUAAGCCCUUACGGGGAAAGAUUUAUCGCCGAAGGAUCGGCCCGCGUCUGAUUAGCUAGUUGGUGAGGUAACGGCUCACCAAGGCGACGAUCAGUAGCUGGUCUGAGAGGAUGAUCAGCCACAUUGGGACUGAGACACGGCCCAAACUCCUACGGGAGGCAGCAGUGGGGAAUAUUGGACAAUGGGCGCAAGCCUGAUCCAGCCAUGCCGCGUGAGUGAUGAAGGCCCUAGGGUUGUAAAGCUCUUUUGUGCGGGAAGAUAAUGACGGUACCGCAAGAAUAAGCCCCGGCUAACUUCGUGCCAGCAGCCGCGGUAAUACGAAGGGGGCUAGCGUUGCUCGGAAUCACUGGGCGUAAAGGGUGCGUAGGCGGGU
rnacentral:rRNA from 1 species